rnacentral:rRNA from 1 species
ACACUCCUGCGGGAGGCAGCAGUGGGGAAUUUUGGACAAUGGGCGAAAGCCUGAUCCAGCAAUGCCGCGUGAGUGAAGAAGGCCUUCGGGUUGUAAAGCUCUUUUGUCAGGGAAGAAACGGUGAGAGCUAAUAUCUCUUGCUAAUGACGGUACCUGAAGAAUAAGCACCGGCUAACUACGUGCCAGCAGCCGCGGUAAUACGUAGGGUGCAAGCGUUAAUCGGAAUUACUGGGCGUAAAGCGUGCGCAGGCGGUUUUGUAAGUCUGAUGUGAAAUCCCCGGGCUCAACCUGGGAAUUGCAUUGGAGACUGCAAGGCUAGAAUCUGGCAGAGGGGGGUAGAAUUCCACGUGUAGCAGUGAAAUGCGUAGAUAUGUGGAGGAACACCGAUGGCGAAGGCAGCCCCCUGGGUCAAGAUUGACGCUCAUGCACGAAAGCGUGGGGAGCAAACAGGAUUAGAUACCCCGGUAGUCCCAU